GUCUACAGCCAUGCCACCUUGAACAAGCCCGAUCCCGUCUGAUCUCGGAAGCUAAGCAGGGUCGGACCUGGUUAGUACUUGGAUGGGAGACCACCUAGGAAGACCAAGUGCUGUAGGCG
rnacentral:rRNA from 1 species